GUGGAUUAGAUACCCUGGUAGUCCACGCUGUAAACGAUGGAUGCUAGGUGUUGCGGGAGUUGACCCCCGCAGUGCCGACGCCAACGCAUUAAGCAUCCCGCCUGGGGAGUACGGUCGCAAGACUAAAACUCAAAGGAAUUGACGGGGGCCCGCACAAGCGGUGGAGCAUGUGGUUCAAUUCGACGCAACGCGAAGAACCUUACCUAGGCUUGACAUGUCCGGAACCCUCCUGAAAGGGAGGGGUGCCCGCAAGGGAGCCGGAACACAGGUGCUGCACGGCCGUCGUCAACU
rnacentral:rRNA from 1 species